rnacentral:rRNA from 13 species
GUUGAAGACGACGACGUUGAUAGGCCGGGUGUGUAAGCGCAGCGAUGCGUUGAGCUAACCGGUACUAAUGACCCGUGAGGCUUAACCUUACAACGCCAGAGGCGUUU